rnacentral:rRNA from 1 species
UACAGAGGGUGCAAGCGUUGUUCGGAAUUAUUGGGCGUAAAGGGCGCGUAGGCGGUUCGGCAAGUCUCUAGUGAAAUCUCAGGGCUCAACUCUGAGUCUGCUGGGGAAACUGCCGGGCUUGAGUGUGGGAGAGGAGAGUGGAAUUCCCGGUGUAGCGGUGAAAUGCGUAGAUAUCAGGAGGAACACCUGUGGCGAAAGCGGCGCACUGGACCACAACUGACGCUGAGGCGCGAAAGCUAGGGGAGCAAACAGG